CAUAAACAAAUGUCUCUAUUUAUCUCCUCUUCUCAAGUGCAUCGUCGUCUUCUUAUACUGUAACAUUUCUUAUCUGGUUGCUCAUAGUUCUUAAUCCAUUCCACCAUGAAAACACUCACUAGCUCCUCCGGUCAAAUUCAUCUUCAUCUUCUUCUUAUCACUAUUCUUCUCUCUUUGAACAUAGUCAUACAAGUAAGAUCAGAAACCCCACAAGAACUACCCAAAGGUUUCACAGCAACACCAGACUCAUCCAUAUCUUCAUUCCAACCACUUCUUAAUGAUCCAACAGGUGAUUUCUCACUUGGGUUCCUCAGAAUUGAGGACUCCAAACUUUCUCUUGCUAUAUUACAUGUACCUUCUUCUGAACCCAUUUGGACAGCUAAUACAACUGGUUCACUAAGAUGGUCUAAAGCUACAAAGCUUUCCUUUAAUGGAAGUUUAGUCUUGUCUGAUUCACAUUCAAAUGUAUUUUGGUCAACUAGAAGUGUUGGUGAUAGAGUUCUACUUAUGCACGACUCAAAUCUUCAAGUGCAAAAGCUUUCAGGCAAGAAUGAGCAAUCUAUAGUUUGGCAAAGUUAUGAUUUUCCAUUUGAUACACUUAUUGAGAGUCAGAAUUUUACAGUGUCCAUGUCUCUUGUUUCUAGAAAUGGGUUGUAUUCUAUGAGAUUAGGAGAUACUUAUUUUGGUUUAUACUCGAAAGUUAAUAUGAAUUCGACACAGCUGUAUUGGAAACAUGGAGCUAUGGAAGCAAAGGCAGAGAUUGUUGAAGGAAAUGGUCCAAUUUAUGCAAGAAUUAGCUCAAAUGGAUAUCUGGGUAUGUAUCAAACUUUAAAAGCUCCAGUAGAUAUUCUUCCUUUCGACAGUUUCCAAAGACCGGUACCGGGAAUCCGAAAACUAAAGCUAGAAUCAGAUGGCAAUCUCAGAGGUUAUUACUGGAGUGGAACAACUUGGGUGUUGGAUUUUAAAGCAAUUUCUGACGUCUGUGAGCUUCCGAAUGCUUGUGGUUCUUAUGGUCUUUGUCAACCCGGCAAGGGUUGUUCAUGUCUGGAUAACAAGACUCAGUACAAUUCAGGAGAGUGUUUUCCACAUAAAACUGGGGAUUCCUGUAGUAAAAAUGAAGUGUUAGGGAAAGGAUACUGGAUUUUAAGAAGGAAAGGUGUUGAAGUGCCUUACAAAGAAUGGAUGGGGUUUGAAAAGAUGGAGACAUUGAAUGAUUGUGAGGAUUCUUGUGAAAGAAACUGUAGUUGUUGGGGAGCUGUUUAUAAUAAUGCAACCAAGUUUUGUUACAAGAUUCAGUACCCAAUUAAUAGUUUAGUUAGUGAUGGAGAUGAAGGUAAAUCAGGGUUCUUUAAAGUGAAGAAUGAAGAGAAGAAAAGAGUUGUUAGCGUUGCAGUUGGUCUUGGUUUGAUAAUUGGAGCAAUAAUAGUUUUAGUUUUAGUUUUAGUUGUUGGGUUUGUAAUUUUCAGUGUCUGGAGAAGAAGAAAGAAUCAUAGUGAUAGAUUAUUGGAGGAUGGAUUAACUCCUGGCUCUUACAAAGGUUUAGAUUCUGAAAGUUUUCGAUCUGUGGAGCUCAGUCAACAGCGAAGCUAGUGCAACCGUUAGCUCACACUCGAUCAGAUUAUAGGAAGCCCCGACUGACGUCCAUCGGAGAUGAUUUUUUCUUCUUCAUAUCAAAACAUCUCAAAAUGGAAAGACUGGAAGGGGGCAUUACACAUCUAUGAUUUGAUGUAUACUUUUACCUGCUCAAAUUAGUAGACAUCUUAAUUGGGCUCUAUACAUUUGACUCCAAAGGCUUGACAAAAAUAGACGGGAGGAGGGCCCUGUUCUCCCAACUUCCAGGUGUUCGAGAUCUGAAAAAUAGGAAAAAUAAGAAUAACAAACACCUGCAGAGUAUUUCCUUGAUCGGGUUCAGAGAUAGAUCUCUGAUCUAUGCUGCAGAACUUGUCUUGUGAUGCAAAAACAAAACCAGCCAGUACAGUCAACGAACAAAAGCAUAAAUCUCAGAUUUACAUAACUUUAUAAGGGAGACAGAAUCUACAAUGUAUUGUACUAUUUAAGCAAAGGAGUUCAAGAAGUUAGCAGCUGAAAAGUACUGUACUAUAGAGCUGAAAUAAAUAACUGGAAGGACAAUGACAGAAUCAUCGAGAUAUCAUUUGGAAACACCAAAACCAAUUCUUCAAGGGAACAUUUUCUACUGUUAGAAUCAAUGAUAGAAGAAAAUUUUCAACACAUGAAAAAGAAAAAUUGCAGCUGCAAACUUUUUCAUCUUAACCCAUAUGGUGUAUCUUCUACCGGCAGAGAAAACGAAGGCACAAAACGACACAUGCUUUGUGGAUUGGCAAUCUAUUUUCAAAGAGCACCUCCAAAAGUUUAGUCUGUUUGAUACUUCAAAUUUAUAAUGACCACAUAGUCCCUAAAAUUUCCUUUGUAAUCAACAACUCGGGAACUGAUUCAAUAAGGAUUUUGUUGCCAUUGUUGAAGCCAGAAAGUUAAAUCAUUUAAAGUAUCUCACAGUUGUUGAUGUUUCAAACAUGGGUUUACUAUAACUCGAUGCUACGAGACUCGUUGAAUAGUUCACGUCCUUUACACUAAGUGAUGUAUUUCACUCGAGCUCUUUACAGCUUUACAAUUUCAAGGUUGCAUCCAUCUUUUCUCCUAUUCCUCUUUUUGAAUUCUUCGUCUAGCAGAAAUUUCUCCCCUUAAAAUGUAUCAACCAGCACACUUUUGUGGACUAGACAUCCUUUCUACACAGGAAACUCUUAAAGAAAAUUCAAAACCA